rnacentral:lncRNA from 1 species
AACUGUUUAACCAAUUUGCGUCUAGUCUUGACAGCCCUCAUUAGACUGGUUAAAUCGUAUUGAACCACUCUUACUCUGAAUAAUUCAGUCAGCCAUUUCCAGAGUUCUUUGGCUACAUCACAGUCCCAAAAGAGGUGAUGAUAUGAUUCCUCGUCCUUCAGACAUAACCUGCAUCUUGAAACCACAUUGAUUCCCCGGCCUUUUCCUGAUAUGAUCGUCUGUAGCCACAACCUUUUGUAUUAUCUUCCAUCCCAGUCCAGAUGUUCUAGGAUGUAUGUGUUUUGCCCACACCUAGGAGUGCCAGUUGACCUUCACAGCUUUGCUUCUAACGGCUUCAUAGGAAAUCCAGCCACCAUGCUUACUCGUGAACUUGUUAUACAUAAAUCUGCUCCAAUUUGUUUUUUGCUCCACUAGUGGUAUCAACACUCAACAGGUUGGUAUUUCUAAUUUUCUAACAAAAUUUUGUAUAUUAAUCAGAUAUUAAAUAUACUUGUUCUAUCUCGCCAGUUUUCCCCCCGUGUUAUUGUUUUUGGUAUCAACAGGUCGCUACAAAUAGAAGGCCGAUCUGUAUCAAUGUGUUCUUUUUUUUAAAUUUUUUUUUGUAUAUUAAUCAGAUCUGUUUGAUUAAUUUCUGUAUCAAAAGCUUCGUGUUUUUUUUAAAAUUAAUUUUGUAACAAUUUUUUUUUUUAUAUUAUUCAGAUCCGAAAUAUUAUUGUUCUAUCCCCACUUUUUUGUAUAUUAAUCAAUUUUGUUUGAUUGUUUUUGGUAUUAACAGGUUGGUACAAAUAAGAGACUCAUCUGUAUCAACAGGUUGUUUUUUUUUUUUUUUUUGUUUGCAAUGAAGAAACUGGGAUUUGGCAUGGACCUCUACCGGUUUAUUUCCAUCAAAUUCUAGAUUCUAGUGUACAUCAUACUCUGACCAUCCUUCUCAAUCAAAUAAGUACUUUCAUAGAGUAUCAUUGAUUUAUCCAUGUGAAAGUCAAGUAGGACUGAGCCUUGGUGGUCUCUGAAGACACCUCCAAUGUCUGCACUUGUGUCCGACAAGAAUCCAUCAGUGUUGACUGCAAUUUAGCGCAGCAGAAAGUGGGCAAUUUGUCCAUCAGUGUUGAUGGCAAAUAAGUGCAGCAGAAAUUGGCAAUAACUGGCAAAUUGUCCUGAAGCACACCCAAAAUUAC